UUUUCAUAGCGGAGGAAAAGAAACUAACUAGGAUUCCCUUAGUAACGGCGAGUGAACCGGGAUGAGCUCAAAUUUGAAAUCUGGCGUCUUUCAGGCGUCCGAGUUGUAAUCUAUAGAGGCGUUUUCCGCGCCGGACCGCGUCCAAGUCUCUUGGAAUAGAGUAUCAAAGAGGGUGACAAUCCCGUACUUGACGCGACAACCGGUGCUCUGUGAUACGUUCUCAACGAGUCGAGUUGUUUGGGAAUGCAGCUCUAAAUGGGUGGUAAAUUCCAUCUAAGGCUAAAUAUUGGCGAGAGACCGAUAGCGAACAAGUACCGUGAGGGAAAGAUGAAAAGCACUUUGGAAAGAGAGUUAAACAGCACGUGAAAUUGUUAAAAGGGAAACGAUUGAAGUCAGUCGUGUGAAAGGUAUUCAGCCGUCUCUGGCGGUGUAUUUGCCUUUCACGGGUCAACAUCAGUUUAGUCCGGUAGAAAAAGGCUGGAGGAAGGUGGCACCCUCGGGUGUGUUAUAGCCUCCUGUCACAUGUGCCGGAUUAGACUGAGGAACGCAGCUUGCCGCAAGGCCGGGGUUCGCCCACGUACAAGCUUAGGAUGUUGACAUAAUGGCUUUAAACGACCCGUCUUGAACCCG
rnacentral:rRNA from 1 species